GUAGAAUUCUCAGCUCCUCCUGCACCAUGCCUGCCUGGAUGCUGCCAUGUUCCCACCUUGAUGAUGAUGGACUGGACCUCUGAACCUAGAGAAGCAAAGACCUCGUGCCACAGGGCCCAGUGGAGACAAGGUUAAUGGAUGGGUGACAGGUUGGGCAAAGGCGGGAAGAAAUAUGAAGUGGGAAUGUUCCAUGCAUCCCUUUCUCUUUGUGGCACUCGGGUGACGCCUCAUGCGGGACUAAAGGAAGAGUGGACACACAACUGCCUGGGCUGGUGAUCACCUUCAUUAACACCAAAUCCUCUCAACUGGGAUCAGUGCGUGGUGAGCGGCUCCUCUGAACCCUUCCAGCGUCGGGAACAGCCUGGACUGGCAGAAACACCCACAAACGUAAUUAGCCCAGGAAGCCGAGCUGCGUCACCCUCACCCUCACACGGGCUCUGAAGCUCCGGUGUUUGCGGCUUCGUGCUCAUUCCCAUGCUUAUUUUUUAAGGCUUCCUGUCUGGUUGCCUGUCUUGAGGUGUCCCUGGGGACUCAAAUGAUGUGUGUCGACAUUCUCCUGAAGUUACAGAAGUCCUUCAUGACCCAAAUUUAAAAUAUCAUCUCCCAGGGGCUGGGGAUUUAGCUCAGUGGUAGAGUGCUUACCUUGGAAGCGCAAGGCCCUGGGUUCGGUCCCCAGCUCCGAAAAAAAGAACCAAAAAAAUAAAAUAAAAUAAAAUAUCAUCUCCCCAGACAGAUAGAUGGCAGUGAUCUGCCUAUGGACUGGAUUGGUUCAAAUUAAAUUUGACCUAAGGAGGCCUCCAUAGGGGUGCCUGCGUCAGAUUUUGC
ensembl:lncRNA